rnacentral:tRNA from 1 species
GGGCAAAAAGAGUUUAGGCUUCUAACCAAAACCCGAGGGGAGACCUUCUUUGCUCU